UUGGUCAAUGGACGCAAGUCUGAACCAGCCAUGCCGCGUGAAGGAUGAAGGUCCUCUGGAUUGUAAACUUCUUUUAUCUGGGACGAAAACGGGAUUUUUAUCUCAAUUGACGGUACCAGAGGAAUAAGCACCGGCUAACUCCGUGCCAGCAGCCGCGGUAAUACGGAGGGUGCGAGCGUUAUCCGGAUUUACUGGGUUUAAAGGGUGCGUAGGUGGGCUUAUAAGUCAGUGGUGAAAUCUCCGAGCUUAACUUGGAAACUGCCGUUGAUACUAUAGGUCGUGAAUUAUCUGGAGGUAAGCGGAAUAUGUCAUGUAGCGGUGAAAUGCUUAGAUAUGACAUAGAACACCCAUUGCGAAGGCAGCUUACUACAUAUAAAUUGACGCUGAGGCACGAAAGCGUGGGGAUCGAACA
rnacentral:rRNA from 1 species